CAGCCGCCACGGUAAUACGUAGGGUGCGAGCGUUAAUCGGAAUUACUGGGCGUAAAGGGUGCGUAGGCGGCUUGACAAGUCUUGUGUGAAAUCUAUGGGCUCAACCCAUAGUCUGCACGGGAAACUGUCGGGCUUGAGAAUGGGAGAGGUGAGUGGAAUUUCCGGUGUAGCGGUGAAAUGCGUAGAUAUCGGAAGGAACACCUGUGGCGAAAGCGGCUCACUGGACAAUAACUGACGCUGAUGCACGAAAGCUAGGGGAGCAAACAGGAUUAGAUACCCCCGUAGUCCCUGUCUCUUAUAC
rnacentral:rRNA from 1 species